AGUGAACGCUGGCGGUAGGCCUAACACAUGCCAGUCGAACGGCAGCACAGUAAGAGCUUGCUCUUACGGGUGGCGAGUGGCGGACGGGUGAGGAAUACAUCGGAAUCUACUUUUUCGUGGGGGAUAACGUAGGGAAACUUACGCUAAUACCGCAUACGACCUACGGGUGAAAGCAGGGGAUCUUCGGACCUUGCGCGAUUGAAUGAGCCGAUGUCGGAUUAGCUAGUUGGCGGGGUAAAGGCCCACCAAGGCGACGAUCCGUAGCUGGUCUGAGAGGAUGGUCAGCCACACUGGAACUUGGACACGGUCCAGACUCCUACGGGAGGCAGCAGUGGGGAAUAUGGGACAAUGGGCGCAAGUCUGAUCCAGCCAUACCGCGUGGGUGAAGAAGGCCUUCGGGUUGUAAAGCCCUUUUGUUGGGAAAGAAAAGCAGCAGGUUAAUACCCCGCUGUUCUGACGGUACCCAAAGAAUAAGCACCGGCUAACUUCGUG
rnacentral:rRNA from 1 species